rnacentral:rRNA from 1 species
UGCCAGCCGCCGCGGUAAUACAGAGGGUGCGAGCGUUAAUCGGAAUUACUGGGCGUAAAGGGCACGUAGGUGGGUGCUUAAGUCAGAUGUGAAAUCCUCGAGCUUAACUUGAGAACUGCAUUUGAUACUGGGCACCUAGAGUUUGGUAGAGGGAAGUGGAAUUUCCGAUGUAGCGGUGAUAUGCAUAGAUAUCGGAAGGAACACCAGUGGCGAAGGCGGCUUCCUGGACCAAUACUGACACUGAGGUGCGAAAGCGUGGGUAGCAAACAGGAUUAGAUA